GAACGAACGCUGGCGGCAUGCCUAACACAUGCAAGUCGAACGAAGGCUUCGGCCUUAGUGGCGCACGGGUGCGUAACGCGUGGGAAUCUGCCCUUGGGUUCGGAAUAACAGUUAGAAAUGACUGCUAAUACCGGAUGAUGUCCCCUUUAGAGAUAUUGGGGACCAAAGAUUUAUCGCCCAGGGAUGAGCCCGCGUAGGAUUAGGUAGUUGGUGGGGUAAAGGCCUACCAAGCCGACGAUCCUUAGCUGGUCUGAGAGGAUGAUCAGCCACACUGGGACUGAGACACGGCCCAGACUCCUACGGGAGGCAGCAGUGGGGAAUAUUGGACAAUGGGGGCAACCCUGAUCCAGCAAUGCCGCGUGAGUGAUGAAGGCCUUCGGGUCGUAAAGCUCUUUUACCAGGGAUGAUAAUGACAGUACCUGGAGAAUAAGCUCCGGCUAACUCCGU
rnacentral:rRNA from 1 species